AUGAUUCGUCUUCACUCCAUCACUGCUCGCUUCGACAAAAUCAACAGUCCACCAUUGACAACAUCAACUCGAUAUGCAUCGUCGCUUAUCUUCCGCGUCGAUUCUUCGUGCUACAUUUCAUCUUCUUCUAACACCGCCUUUGAUUCAAAUCUUUUGAUACAUCAUUGUCUCCAAUCGCGGACCUCGCUUCAAUCACAGUUUCACGAUCUUUGUUCACUUCCUCGCAGUGAUAUUCGCGAUUAUGUUUCAGAUUCGUAA